CGAACAACCGACCAUGCUGAAUUUCUCUAGGCAGCACUUGAAGUAGCACUUCAGGUUGUUGUCGUCAUCGGGCAUUACACCGUAUUCAAAGUCCUCGAUGGCCUCUGUAAAAUGGAAGGGGUAUAUAUCAGGUACUUACCGAACCAACACCAAUCGCAAAGGCAAAUGUAGACGUUAUGACGCAUAGAAAAAUCAGAACGGAUUCCGAAGUCAUCAUUCCUUCGCCCGAAACUUUGGAAGGUUUACACAUAAAAACACCAAACAGACUGUGCUGCUUCCACCGAUUGGCGGAAUAUAUACAUAUACACGAGUGUGAUUUUGAAGGCAAAUGGGAAAUAAUAAUCGGCUGGCAAGAAUGUAACCAGCAGGUAGUGUCGUCUACAAGUAAAUUGCAUCCGUUUCUCGCAUCCUUUAAUUGUCGAAUGAACGCACAUGAUCGCCUUUGUUCGACCAGGGCUGCUACAAAUAUUAGCGACGAAACUUACAAUCGACGAGUAAUAUUAGAGCGUUCCAGAAAAUAUUGCGUAUUCGGAAACCUUGGUUCGUCAACGAUAACUAUAAUAUCAAUUAAAAGGAUACAAUGUAAACGCAAGGUGUAAUUAACCAUCCGUACGCGGAUGCUAUUAUAUGAAAGGAAGUUGUUAAACGGCUCACUUACCUGUAAUGCAACAGUUGAUGCUCUAAACGAAACUUUGUUAAUUACGGUAUCCCUCCUCGGACAUGUUUAAGUUUCUUGGAAACUGUGGUCUAGAAGGUGGAGAUAUUUGUCUCUUAAUUGCAGGUUGAAGAUCGUUUAUGCAACUUUAAGGAUAAGAGUUCGAUAACACGUCGAUUAUACCAGGAGAUACGCUUAAAUUGCGAAAGUUAUUCAGGAAAUAGGAGAGGAGCGGUUUUUAUUUGGAAAGUUUUAUUUAAAACAUUUUUCGAUAUCUUUUGUACUUUAUAUAUAGUUAAAAAAAACAUUUCUUUCUGUAUUGUUCAAAGGUCAACUAAAGCAGCGGUAGUUGGAGAUAUUUCAAGAGAUAACUAGUUCUUGGAACGUAAUCUGUUAACGUACUUCCGAGAAACGCGUGUUACUCUAUGGUUAGAGAGGGGGUGUACUGAUUAAAUUGGCAGUAAUUUAAACGUCAAGUGA